AACGAACGCUGGCGGCAGGCUUAACACAUGCAAGUCGAACGCCCCGCAAGGGGAGUGGCAGACGGGUGAGUAACGCGUGGGAAUCUACCCAGAUCUACGGAACAACAGUUGGAAACGACUGCUAAUACCGUAUACGCCCUACGGGGGAAAGAUUUAUCGGAUUUGGAUGAGCCCGCGUUGGAUUAGCUAGUUGGUGGGGUAAUGGCCUACCAAGGCGACGAUCCAUAGCUGGUCUGAGAGGAUGAUCAGCCACACUGGGACUGAGACACGGCCCAGACUCCUACGGGAGGCAGUAGUGGGGAAUAUUGGACAAUGGGCGCAAGCCUGAUCUAGCCAUGCCGCGUGAGUGAUGAAGGCCUUAGGGUUGUAAAGCUCUUUCACCGAUGAAGAUAAUGACGGUAGUCGGAGAAGAAGCCCCGGCUAACUUCGUGCCAGCAGCCGCCGUAACAC
rnacentral:rRNA from 1 species